UACGUAGGGAGCGAGCGUUAUCCGGAUUUAUUGGGUGUAAAGGGUGCGUAGGCGGUUUCUUAAGUCUGUAGUCUAAGCCCGGAGCUUAACUCCGGUUCGCUACAGAAACUGAGUUACUUGAGUAUGGUAGAGGCAAGUGGAAUUUCUAGUGUAGCGGUUAAAUGCGUAGAUAUUAGAAGGAACACCGGUGGCGAAGGCGACUUGCUGGGCCAUCACUGACGCUGAGGCACGAAAGCGUGGGGAGCAAAUAGG
rnacentral:rRNA from 1 species